rnacentral:lncRNA from 1 species
UGGACGAUGAGCUCCGGUGAAACCUCCACAAUCACCCACAAGUUACGCUACUCUCUCAUAGUUGUUUCCUCCACAUGAACUGCGCUGCUACUGCGGACGGAGCCCGGUGUGAGGAGCUGCUGGAGAACAGUUUCCUCCUCUGUGAGGAGCUGCUGGAGAACAGUUUCCUCCUCUGUGAGGAGCUGCUGGAGAACAGUUUCCUCCUCUGUGAGGAGCUGCUGGAGAACAGUUUCCUCCUCUGUGAGGAGCUGCUGGAGAACAGUUUCCCUCUGCUGGAGAACAGUUUCCUCCUCUGUGAGGAGCUGCUGGAGAACAGUUUCCUCCUCUGUGAGGAGCUGCUGGAGAACAGUUUCCCUCUGCUGGAGAACAGUUUCCUCCUCUGGGACGGACGUGGUCAAUAAAUCACAUCUCCAGGUCGAAAAGAAGCUUUUAGUCCGACGCCACCUAACGUUAGCUGCAGGUCACAGGCUCAGGAGGAGACGGCCAUGCACUCCGAAACUGAAGUUAGUGAAGAAGCUGCUAUGUCUCCAGUUUCUAUUCUUGGACCAACAGCCAGAAGGUGUGCCUGGACUGGAAGCUGGAAAUGACUCUGUGCUGCCUGCCCUCUCAAGACCCAUCCUCCAUUCUGCAGGUAAAAUAUGCACAGUACACAUCCACAUCCUCUGCCAGACUGUUAAUGAUGUUUUCAGUUUUCUAUCUGUCUGUUUUUUGAUUUUACCUUUCAUUUACAUCUUUUGUUUUGCCUCUAACAUCCUCCUGCCUUGUAGCUUCAUCGCACACCAUUCCCCUUCUUACCUGCUUUUGUCAGCGUAACUGUGAAUAACUGUGAAUGUUUUUAACUUUUACACACUGUCUCUGCGUGUCACAGCUGUUUCUGACCCGUGCCAGAUGAAGAUCCAAAUGGUCACUGCUGACUGAAAAAACUGUUAAUGGAAAUGAGUUUGUCUCUUGUCCUUUUAAACUGGACCUUGUGGCAAUUACAAGGAACCAUUGAUAGGAGCAGGACAGCUGCUGUGUCAAUGUCGAUAUUGAUCCAAUGUACCACUCAUUGUGGAGAGAGAGAUCAAACCCCCUUCCUCCCACGGUCCUCACCCCUCCUCCCUCUGUGAACCUUUAUUCAGCAGCAGGACCGAAGCCCAACUGUGAUGUCAGAAAAAAACAAAGUGCUGAUUCAGUCACAGAAAAGCUGCGCCCUUCAGUAAAGAGUGAUUAUAUAUCAAACAAGAAAUAUUAUUGGCUUUGACUGACUGUAUCGCUGUUUUAAAACCUUAACAAAACAGGUUAAGGUAAGGAGCAAAUUAUUUCUAAAAUACAGAGGAUGUUUUUUUCCCUGAAACCAAU